rnacentral:rRNA from 1 species
UUAUAUUUUGUUUAUUAAUUAAUUUUUUUUUUAUUAUAAAUUAUUAAAAGUAAUUAUUUUAUGGUUUGUUUAAGUAUUUUAUAAAGAAAAAAUAAUUUUAAUGAUAGUUAAAUAGUAUUGUGAAAGAAAACUGAAAUAAUUUGAAAAAUUAAUAUUUUAAAAGAAAAUUUAAAUUAUUGUACCUUGUGUAUCAGGGUUUAUUAAAUAAAAAUUAUUUAUUAUAAUUUUCUCGAUUUUAAAAGAGUUAAUAUAUUAUAAAAGUUAAUGUGAUAAAAUUAUUUUAUAUAAUAUAUUGGAAAUGAAAUGUUAUUCGUUUUUAAAGGUAUCUAGUUCUUUAAGAAAUAAAUUUAAUUUAGAAAUUUUAUAUUAUUUAAUUAAAUAUAUUAAUUAAAUAAUUGUUUUAUUUUAAUAUUUUGUGGGAUAAGCUGUGAAAUAAAUUAUUAAAAAUUAUUAAAUAAUUUAAUAAAUAUAAGCUUAGAAAUAGUUAUUAUUAAUGAAAUUGUUAUAAUUUAUUUUAUAAUAUUGAUUAUUUAUUGGAUUUUAAUUAUGUAUUAAAGUAUUUAUUUUAAUUAUAAAAAUAAAAAAAUAAUGAUGAAAUUAGUAUAUUAUAUUGUAUAAAUAUUAUUAAUUGAUAAGUUUUUAUAAAGAACUCGGCAAAAAUAAUGUUCGCCUGUUUAACAAAAACAUGUCUUUUUGAAUUUUUUUAAAAGUCUAGCCUGCCCACUGAAUAAUUUAAAUGGCCGCAGUAUACUAACUGUGCAAAGGUAGCAUAAUCAUUAGUCUUUUAAUUGAAGGCUGGUAUGAAUGGUUGGACGAGAUAUUAACUGUUUCAUAAAAAUUUAUAAUAGAAUUUUAUUUUUUAGUCAAAAAGCUAAAAUGAAAUUAAAAGACGAGAAGACCCUAUAAAUCUUUAUACAUAUGAAUUAUUAGAAUUUUAUAGAUUUUUUUUAUUAUAAUAGUUAAUUGUAUUUUAUUGGGGUGAUAUUAAAAUUUAAUAAACUUUUAAUUAUUUAAAUCAUUAAUUUAUGAAUAAUUGAUCCGUUAAUAACGAUUAAAAAAAUAAGUUACUUUAGGGAUAACAGCGUAAUUUUUUUGGAGAGUUCAUAUCGAUAAAAAAGAUUGCGACCUCGAUGUUGGAUUAAGAUAUAAUUUUAGGUGUAGCCGCUUAAAUUUUAAGUCUGUUCGACUUUUAAAUUCUUACAUGAUCUGAGUUCAAACCGGCGUAAGCCAGGUUGGUUUCUAUCUUUAAAAAAUUAAAAUAUUUCAGUACGAAAGGACCUAAUAUUUAAUAAAUAAUUAUUUUUAUAUUGAAUAUAAAUAAUUUAU